GCAUUGGCAAGUAUUACUUCUGAGUUGCUGAAGCACUAAGCUCCAUGGCUUGCAAACAGAAGUGUUUAGUGAUGCUGCUGUCCUUGGCAUUUUCCUGCCUGGCAGUCAUGACAGGGAGUAGUUUCACACUGUGAGGGUUUUCUGAGGGUUGCCUCCGGCCCACAGUACAAGGUUGCCAUGCCUGGGGAAAGAACAUGCACGAUUAUCCUGCCAUUAUUUGAUUAGCCUGCAGUUGUUCUAUGCUGCUGAAGUAUCUUGAAAAGCUGCACAGUAACUCAAGUCACUGAUGCUGUGUCAAGAUAAUAUGGGCUACAUUGAAAAGUUGCUAUCAUUGUGGCUUCAAGCAGCAGUGCUUUUUUUCUGCCAGGUGCAUGUUUGCAAAAUUAAAAAAAAAAAAAUGUUAAGUAAGAGAUGCUGAUCUAAGAAAGAAGGUCAAACCACUUUCAUCCUUUCCUAUUGUCUCCCUUUGUUUCCACAGAAUAUUGGCAUGAUACAACAUUUGUGACGGACUUUCUCCACAAAUAACAAAUAUGUGGCUGCAGAUAUUACGUCUCUUAACCUUGUCUGUUCUUGUACCUGAGAGUCGCCACAACAGAUCAGUUGUUGCAUAGGAACGGCUGCUGACAUCCAACCCAUUUUCUUCACCCUAGUUACACGAUCACUAUCGCCCCAGAAGGGACUUAUCUGGUUCACUUGCUGGCGUAGCCGCUUAAAGAUUGAAGUCAUUAAUGCGUUGUGCCUCUGUCCUCUGCUACGCAUUUGGGGGAAAGGCCCAUCCUUGCUGUGCCAGUCUGGAGUAAAACUGUGCAGAAGAUACAGGCAUGCGGGAAUGAAAAGCCCCUGUGGGAAUGAAAAGCCACUGUAUUCUUAGAAAUGGAUGGUCUCUGGAAGUGGUAUGGCCCCUGUAAUGAAGCAGGACAGACCCAGAAGUGAGCUUCACGGGGGCGUGAAGGCCGCUGGAGGCCCUGCAGCUGCCUUUGGUGCCUUCAGACAGGACCACAGCCAGGCAGAUCCACCAGAAGACUAACAUCCCCAUGUGACUGCUCUCUGAUCCCAGCACUGCCCUUUGGCCGGGAUUUGGGAUUUGCAGAUCUGAAGAGGAAGCAUUAAACCCAGAGACUGC
rnacentral:lncRNA from 1 species